AUUUAGUGCCGAGGGCACUUAAUGCACAACUUCUUGAAUCGCUCCCAGUAAUCAAAGAGCGAUUCCCCUGGAUACUGCUUGAUACCACAUAUCUCCUUCCUUAGGCU